rnacentral:rRNA from 1 species
CAUAGCAAAAAUUUCCUGUCAACAAGUUGUAUUAUUUUAGGGGAUGUGUUUGGCCCUGUCAUAUUGCUUCCCCAUGGGUGACAGUGCGGAUGGGAGUGGUGGAUCUAAUCCAUCCUCUUUUGCGCGUUGUCCUCCUAACAAAACCAAACCCCGGCGUAGCAUACGCCAAGGAAUCAAAGAUUAAAAGAAGGUAACAUGUGCCCUAGCGACCCGGAUACGGAAUUCGCAAAGGUUGCUUGUUUCCUUGUUUGAGAACUAAAUGACUCUCGGCAACGGAUAUCUUGGCUCUCGCAUCGAUGAAGAACGUAGCGAAAUGCGAUACUUGGUGUGAAUUGCAGAAUCCCGUGAACCAUCGAGUUUUUGAACGCAAGUUGCGCCCGAAGCCUUCGGGCCGAGGGCACGUCUGCCUGGGUGUCAUGUAUUGUUGCCCCAUCCACAACUCCCAUUGUGGGAGUAUCCGAUAAGGGGCGGAAAAUGGUCUCCCGUGUGCUCCCGCUUGCGGUUGGCCAAAAUUUGAGUCGUUGGUGAUAGUGCCACGAUAAUCGGUGGUUGAAAAAUCUUCGGAUAUUAUUGUGGCAAAACCAACAAAAGGAAUUUCAGACCCAAUGCUCUCUCAACAGGGGACCCCAGUUCAGGCGGGAUACCCGCU